GGGUGGUAAUGCCGGAUGCUCCAGUUGAUCGCAUGGUCUUCUGGGAAAGCUUUCGCGGUAUGGGAUGGGGUCGCGUCCUAUCAGCUUGACGGCGGGGUAACGGCCCACCGUGGCUUCGACGGGUAGCCGGCCUGAGAGGGCGACCGGCCACAUUGGGACUGAGAUACGGCCCAGACUCCUACGGGAGGCAGCAGUGGGGAAUAUUGCACAAUGGGCGCAAGCUGAUGCAGCGACGCCGCGUGAGGGAUGGAGGCCUUCGGGUUGUAAACCUCUUUUAUCGGGGAGCAAGCGAGAGUGAGUUUACCCGUUGAAUAAGCACCGGCUAACUACGUGCCAGCAGCCGCGGUAAU
rnacentral:rRNA from 2 species